rnacentral:rRNA from 1 species
AUUGAACGCUGGCGGCAGGCCUAACACAUGCAAGUCGAGCGGAUGAAGGGAGCUUGCUCCUGGAUUCAGCGGCGGACGGGUGAGUAAUGCCUAGGAAUCUGCCUGGUAGUGGGGGAUAACGUCCGGAAACGGGCGCUAAUACCGCAUACGUCCUGAGGGAGAAAGUGGGGGAUCUUCGGACCUCACGCUAUCAGAUGAGCCUAGGUCGGAUUAGCUAGUUGGUGGGGUAAAGGCCUACCAAGGCGACGAUCCGUAACUGGUCUGAGAGGAUGAUCAGUCACACAGGAACUGAGACACGGACCAAACUCCUACGGGAGGCAGCAGUGGGGAAUAUAGGAAGAAGGGCGAAAGUAUGAGCAAGCCAAGCCGCGGGUGUAAAGAAGCUCGGCGGAUUGUAAAGAACUUUAAGUUGGAAGGAAGGGGAGUAAUGUAAUACCGUGGUGUUGUGAGUUUACCAACAGAAAAAGCACGGGGUAAAGUCA